CUAUCCUUCCUUUCAACACACUUGGAAAACCAAUCUCCUAAUGAGAAUGAGGCUUGGUGGACAGGGAGUCCCUGGGAUAGAAGAGCCCCAGCCACCACCCUCUUCUCUCUGCCCCAGUAAACAGUUGGGAUUUCGAAGAAAUAUGAGAAAGACUGCUCUUCCUUUGGUUAGUAUUUCUUACUUUACCUUCCUCUACUUUCUGAUUGGGAUGAAUUUAUGGGCACUUAACAGCUGGUUUAAGUUAGGAAUCACUAUUCGUUCAACAAACAUUUAGUGAACAUCCUUGGCAUUGAAGAUGUUGUGUGGGAGCCGCAGCAGAAAGUACAGGAUGUACGAACCACAGGUUCUGUCUUCAUGGAGCUUAUUUUUAGUAAAUAAAUAACACGGAUAACAUCAACAACUAGAGUGCAGCCAGAACCUUGUGGAAAUCACAUUGGAAGGGCAGAAAUGCUGCAUAGGGGAGGGAGACCUGGAGUGGAAAUUGGAGGGCAAAUGGCCAUUUAUUUGAUUUCCAGUGGAAAAUACAAGAGGAAAUGCCCACAGCAUGUUAUUACUUGGGAGCCUGUUGUAGAUGCAGUCAUGCCCCACCUUAGAAACUUGGAAUCCAAAUCUGCAUUUUGACAAGAUGCCGAGGAUUGUCCUACAUGCUCAAGGUCAAGAUGCUUUCAUCUGCAGCUGGACCCUCGCCCUUACCUGUACUUCCCACCCAAUGAAGGGGCAGGUCGCUAAGUUUCUGCCCUCUCUCGUCCAGUGCCAGCCUGGCUCGUGCGAGUUCACCAACAACGCCAGAUGCCGCUCCUUUCACGCCUUCAAUGCCACCAGGGCCAGGGAUGUGCUGAGCAAGACUCCUUGAAGC